rnacentral:ncRNA from 1 species
CUAUUGUUCAGUUGUUACGGUUUUAAGUGGGAAUGCCAGUGAAAAUCCGGCAGCGGCCCUCGCCACUGUAUUUUUAGUCUUUCAUAUACCACUGUCGAUAUUCGAUAGGAAGGGAAAGGCACUUGGGGUAUCCCUCAAGGUAGAAGCCAGGAAACCCUUGCCGCAACGGACAUAUUCAU